rnacentral:rRNA from 1 species
GACGAACGCUGGCGGCGUGCCUAAUACAUGCAAGUAGAACGCUGAAGGAGGAGCUUGCUUCUCCGGAUGAGUUGCGAACGGGUGAGUAACGCGUAGGUAACCUGCCUGGUAGCGGGGGAUAACUAUUGGAAACGAUAGCUAAUACCGCAUAACAGUAGAUAUCGCAUGAUAUCUGCUUGAAAGGUGCAAUUGCAUCACUACCAGAUGGACCUGCGUUGUAUUAGCUAGUUGGUGAGGUAACGGCUCACCAAGGCGACGAUACAUAGCCGACCUGAGAGGGUGAUCGGCCACACUGGGACUGAGACACGGCCCAGACUCCUACGGGAGGCAGCAGUAGGGAAUCUUCGGCAAUGGACGGAAGUCUGACCGAGCAACGCCGCGUGAGUGAAGAAGGUUUUCGGAUCGUAAAGCUCUGUUGUAAGAGAAGAACGAGUGUGAGAGUGGAAAGUCCACACUGUGACGGUAUCUUACCAGAAAGGGACGGCUAACUACGUG